rnacentral:rRNA from 1 species
UACGUAGGUGGCGAGCGUUAUCCGGAAUGAUUGGGCGUAAAGGGUGCGUAGGCGGCCUGCUAAGUCUGGAGUGAAAGGUACCGGCUCAACCGGUACAGGCUCUGGAAACUGGCGGGCUAGAGAGCAGGAGAGGGCGGUGGAACUCCAUGUGUAGCGGUGAAAUGCGUAGAGAUAUGGAGGAACACCAGUGGCGAAGGCGGCUUCCUGGUCUGCAACUGACACUGAGGCGCGAAAGCGUGGGGAGCAAACAGG